UACAGAGGGUGCGAGCGUUGUUCGGAAUCACUGGGCGUAAAGCGCACGUAGGCGGAUUUGUCAGUCAGGGGUGAAAUCCCGGGGCUCAACCUCGGAACUGCCUUUGAUACAGCAAGUCUUGAGUUCGAGAGAGGUGGGUGGAAUUCCUAGUGUAGAGGUGAAAUUCGUAGAUAUUAGGAAGAACACCGGUGGCGAAGGCGGCCCACUGGCUCGAUACUGACGCUGAGGUGCGAAAGCGUGGGGAGCAAACAGG
rnacentral:rRNA from 1 species